rnacentral:tRNA from 1 species
GUCUCUGUAGUGCCAUUUAAAGCGCGUUGGACAUCUAAUCCAAAGGUCGUGGGUUCGAAUCCUAUUUGGGAUG